AGUCGAGCGGAUGAAGAGAGCUUGCUCUCUGAUUCAGCGGCGGACGGGUGAGUAAUGCCUAGGAAUCUGCCUAUUAGUGGGGGACAACGUUUCGAAAGGAACGCUAAUACCGCAUACGUCCUACGGGAGAAAGCAGGGGACCUUCGGGCCUUGCGCUAAUAGAUGAGCCUAGGUCGGAUUAGCUAGUUGGUGAGGUAAUGGCUCACCAAGGCGACGAUCCGUAACUGGUCUGAGAGGAUGAUCAGUCACACUGGAACUGAGACACGGUCCAGACUCCUACGGGAGGCAGCAGUGGGGAAUAUUGGACAAUGGGCGAAAGCCUGAUCCAGCCAUGCCGCGUGUGUGAAGAAGGUCUUCGGAUUGUAAAGCACUUUAAGUGGGGAGGAAGGGCAUUAACCUAAUACGUUAGUGUUUUGACGUUACCGACAGAAUAAGCACCGGCUAACUUCGUGCCAGCAGCCGCGGUAAUACGAAGGGUGCAAGCGUUAAUCGGAAUUACUGGGCGUAAAGCGCGCGUAGGUGGUUUUGUAAGUUGAAUGUGUAAGCCCCGGGCUCAACCUGGGAACUGCAUCCAAAACUGGCAAGCUAGAGUAUGGC
rnacentral:rRNA from 1 species